GAAGAAUACCGGUGGCGAAGGCGGCCUCCUGGAUCUGUACUGACACUGAGGUGCGAAAGCGUGGGUAGCGAACAGGAUUAGAUACCCUGGUAGUCCACGCCGUAAACGAUGACAACUAGCUGUUGGGAGACAAUGUCUUUCAGUGGCGCAGCUAACGUUUUAAGUUGUCCGCCUGGGGAGUACGGCCGCAAGGCUAAAACUCAAAUGAAUUGACGGGGACCCGCACAAGCGGUGGAGCAUGUGGUUUAAUUCGAUGCAACGCGAAAAACCUUACCUACUCUUGACAUACUUGGAAGCUCUUGUAAUGAGAGUGUGCCUUUUGGAACCAAGAUACAGGUGCUGCAUGGCUGUCGUCAGCUCGUGUCGUGAGAUGUUCCGUUAAGUCGGAUAACGAGCGCAACCCUUACCCUUAUUUGCCAGCGAUUCGGUCGGGAACUAUAAGGGGACUGCCGGUGAUAAACCGGAGGAAGGUGAGGACGACGUCAAGUCAUCAUGGCCCUUACGAGUAGGGCUACACACGUGCUACAAUGGGGAAUACAGACGGACGCUAAGCCGCGAGGUGGUGCUAAUCCUAAAAAGUUCUUCGUAGUCCGGAUUGGAGUCUGCAACUCGACUCCAUGAAGUCGGAAUCGCUAGUAAUCGCGAAUCAGCAUGUCGCGGUGAAUACGUUCUCGGGUCUUGUACACACCGCCCGUCACACCAUGGAAGUGGAUUGCACCAGAAGUAGAUAGUCUAACCUUCGGGAGGGCGUUUACCACGGUGUGCUUCAUGACUGGGGUGAAGUCGUAACAAGGUAGCCGUAGGGGAACCUGUGGCUG
rnacentral:rRNA from 1 species